rnacentral:tRNA from 2 species
GCCCUCGUAGCUCAGGGGUAGAGCGCGUUCUUGGUAAGAACGAGGUCAUGGGUUCAAAUCCCAUCGGGGGCUCCA